rnacentral:rRNA from 1 species
CCCUUAGAUGUUCUGGGCCGCACGCGCGCUACACUGACGAUGGCAACGAGUUUUUCCUUCGCCGAAAGGUGUGGGUAAUCUUUUGAAACAUCGUCGUGCUGGGGAUAGAUCAUUGCAAUUUUUGAUCUUGAACGAGGAAUUCCUAGUAAGCGCGAGUCAUCAGCUCGCGUUGAUUACGUCCCUGCCCUUUGUACACACCGCCCGUCGCUACUACCGAUUGAAUGGUUUAGUGAGGACUCCUGAUUGGCGCCGCCGCCCCGGCAACGGAGCAGCGGACUGCCGAAAAGUUGUUCAGACUUGAUCAUUUAGAGGAAGUAAAAGUCGUAACA